rnacentral:tRNA from 1 species
UGGCUCAAUGGUAGAGCGUUCGACUCAAAUACCAAAGGUCGUGGGUUCUAAUCCCAG